UCCUUUUUGCUUCGUACUCCCUCUCUUCCUAAAUACAGUCUUUUUAGAGAUUUCAUUCAAUUAGUCUCUAUACAUCCGUAGACCCUUGUGAAACCUCAGACUUAUAUUUAGAAACCGAGGAAGUAUAUGUGAGAUCAUGCCUGAUCCCAUGACGGAACUGUACAGCGUUCUUGUCAUGCAGCAGCUAUUGGCUAGCCCUUCAAUAAUCAAGUAAGAAACUGCAGUUGAUUUGUGAAAGUGGCAACCACCGAGCGACGCAUGCUAAACGAAUCCUUCAAUCCGGAUGAGGCGUAUGCAGGAUUGGUAGUUGCUCUACCUGAUGCUGGUGCAAAUUCUCACCUGUAACAGGUAGAUGCAUUAGGGACGGAAGCUGCGGUAUCUACUGCUGCUGAUAUGAGCCAUUAAGGGUGACAUUUGAAACGGAUACUCAACUCCUUGCUGAAGCGUGAACUCCUUUCUGAAGCGUUGGACCUGCGAAAGGCUGUCAUUGAAGACAUCAGUUUUAGUUGGCUUUUCAAUCAAAUCGUCACUGUUUGUAGGUGUGAUGUAAAUUUGGUAGCACACAUGAACCAGCAAAAAUCGAUCGUAUGUGCUUACCAAAUGCUAGCAUUAGUUGGAGCUCGAUUACACCGAAGCGACUGUUUGCCUCGCCGGACAUAUUUGUUUCUAAAGCUUUGUUCCUUCAAAAUCUAUAUACCUAUCUCCCCUGAUAAUAAAGCACGUAGCGCUUCUUCCGUCCGUCAUGGCGUUUUUGUAAAAAAGUUCCUCCGUUUUCAGUUAAUCAACUCGCAGUCCUUUCUUGAGUAAGGAAAACGUUUCGUCCGUCGUGCAUCUUUGCGAAAACACCCUUUCGUUUCUUCUAAAUAAACCCGCAGUCCUUUGCAGCCCUCCCUCCC
rnacentral:lncRNA from 1 species